UGCUCUGUGUCCUCUUCUUCUAGAGGCCCAGCCUCUAUGGCCCUCUGACCUGCAGGUAUUGGCGAUCCAUAGCUAAGACGCCAGGUCCCCCGGAAACCUAGAAAUGUUAUUUGUUCUCAUUUUGCCCAAGACUUUUCACCAGAGCAGAACAUAAAAGAUUCUUUCCAAAAAGUGACACCAAGAAGAUAUGGAAAAUGUGAACAUGAGAAUUUACAGUUAAGUAAAAGUGUGGAUGAGUGCAAAGUGCAAAAAGGAGGUUAUAAUGGACUUAACCAAUGUUUGCCAACUACCCAGAGCAAAAUAUUUCAAUGUGAUAAAUAUAUGAAAAUCUUUCAUAAAUUUUCAAAUUUAAAUGGACAUAAGGUAAGACACACCAGAAAAAAACCUUUUAAAUAUAAAGAAUUUGGCAAAUCAUUUUGCAUAUUUUCAAACCUAACUCAACAUAAAAUAAUUUGUACUAGAGUAAAUUUCUACAAAUGUGAAGACUGUGGAAAAGCCUUUAAUGGAUCCUCAAUCUUUACUAAAC
rnacentral:lncRNA from 1 species